AGAACAUGCACCCAGGAGAUGCAAAGGAAGAUAAAGGAACUGGAAGGAAGGACAUCUCAUGCAGAGGAGAGGAAGAAACACCAGGAACAGAUGAACAUGCUUGUCUGGGGUUUGUCCUGUCAUAAACACUUGAAGUAGGUGUGGAGAGGGGGGAGUUAUUUCAGCAGGAACCUUGCUGUUGAGAGACACCAUGACUUGUUUACAGUGCUGGUCCUGAAGGCAGCCAGGAGCUGCGGGAGUCAGACAGGCAGCAACAUUACAGAUUAAAGAAGUAAUUACAAGAUAGAAUAUAACACUAAAAAAGAAAAAAAAAAAAAAAAAAAAAAAAAAAAAAGACAA
rnacentral:lncRNA from 1 species